rnacentral:rRNA from 1 species
CCUACGGGAGGCAGCAGUGGGGAAUUUUGGACAAUGGGCGCAAGCCUGAUCCAGCAAUGCCGCGUGCAGGAUGAAGGCCUUCGGGUUGUAAACUGCUUUUGUACGGAACGAAAAGCCCUCUUCUAAUACAGGAGGGUCAUGACGGUACCGUAAGAAUAAGCACCGGCUAACUACGUGCCAGCAGCCGCGGUAAUACGUAGGGUGCAAGCGUUAAUCGGAAUUACUGGGCGUAAAGCGUGCGCAGGCGGUUUUGUAAGACAGAGGUGAAAUCCCCGGGCUCAACCUGGGAACUGCCUUUGUGACUGCAAGGCUAGAGUACGGCAGAGGGGGAUGGAAUUCCGCGUGUAGCAGUGAAAUGCGUAGAUAUGCGGAGGAACACCGAUGGCGAAGGCAAUCCCCUGGGCCUGUACUGACGCUCAUGCACGAAAGCGUGGGGAGCAAACAGGAUUAGAUACCCCAGUAGUC